AAUUAAUGAGCUUGAAUAAGCAUAUAUUUUGAAAAUAUAAUAUAAGGUUAAUUCCUUAUUAAUUU
rnacentral:tRNA from 1 species